CUUGCCUGUCCUGCUUCUCAUGCCAAAGAUCCAGAGGUAAGCAUUUGUAGGAUUUUAAUUUACAUGUUCAGUUAAGCGUAUUACCGGUAUAUGCUAAUAUAACUUGGCCCAGUAACAAAUCAGCAACCUGUGCAGAUCUAGCAGGGGUGCCAACUUGAUUAAAAUAUUUGGGGGGGGCAGGUAAACCCUGCCCCACAUAAUCAAUCGCAUUACAUGGUGUACACACACCAUUUGAAUGGCAAGUGCCCAUCAACUUUGGGGUGACCUGGCCCCCUCAAAUAUUUUAUGGGGGAACUGAAGCCCCCUCGGUCCCCAGGAGUUUGCUCCUAUGCUAACUAGACUUUGGGAAGGAGAUUGAGGGACUCUAGGAUCCUGCCAAAGCCCUCUUGCCUCCUUCCCCGAAGCCCAACUCCUUGCCUUGCUUACCCACACGAGGGCUGCAGGGUGGAUGGGAGGCAUCAAAUGUUGCUGAGGACUGCAAAAAAAAAAAAAAAGGCCUCAAGGGCUGUGUGCGGCCCUCAGGUUGCAUACUGGACUGUCUUGCCACGACGACUAUUGCCAACAUUACAAAAUUCCAGCUGUUUUUCUACUCAGUCUUCACCAAUAAUUUAUCAAGCCUUAUCCAAGCCUACACCUAUGUCUUGAAGGUGCAAGAUCCUUCAGUUAGCAGAACCAUCUGCUGCAAAGUUUUGCUAAAAAGUGCCAUCUCAGAUUAGGAGUAAAGAAGAGCAUGUUUGAAUACUCUCUCCUAUAAAUAGCCUUCUGCAUAUAGAACACUUGCAAGUUAGGGACACAAUUACUUUUUUAAAUUCAGUUGUAGUGGAGCAAUGGAGACAAGUUUUUCCUACUGUUUGGGGAUAGGCAAGUUGUGGUAAUAUCACAAAUUUUAUGGUCUGUUUUUUUACUAUACCAAAGAUCCUUUGCUUAUUAGGGGCCACCCCACAUUUUCUUCAAAAAAUUGCUUUGCACAGGUAACUACCAUAGAAAGUAGGGGGGUCUGUGGCUUGGCUUUUGAAAAAUAGGGGGUCCUCAAUAAUUAGCUAAUUGGGAGCCACUGGUUUAGAAGAUGCUCCAGGUUAGAAAAUUAAUGGACCUAUACAUGAGGCUGUCUUUGAAGACUGUCUGGAAACUGUACAGAAUGCAUGUAAGAUGUCAUCUUCCCUAAGGACAACAAGUUAGCAGUUACAUGGGGGAAAUGCAUCAGAAAAGAAAUAAGUACAGUUUGUUGUAGCACAGCAAGAAGUAGAGUGGGUCUGCUUUUAGCAAAGUUCUAGCAGUGAUUUUAGUUUGGCUGUCAUUUUGUUUAGGUUGGCUAAUGAACUCAUUUUGUUUAAGAAAGUCAAGUGUCUUAGAAUUUUAGUUUGAGUUAAAGCCACACUGGUGAGAAAUGAAGUCACAAUCAUGGGUCCCAAGUCUGGAAGUUUUGCGGGAGACAAAGGGAAGCAAGUCCAAGCCCAGGUGAGAGUGCUAAUCAUUUUUAUAUACAGUGGUACCUUGGGUUAAGUACUUAAUUCGUUCCGGAGGUCCGUUCUUAACCUGAAACUGUUCUUAACCUGAAGCACCACUUUAGCUAAUGGGGCCUCCUGCUGCCACCGCGCCGCCAGAGCACGAUUUCUGUUCUUAUCCUGAAGCAAAGUUCUUAACCUGAAGCACUAUUUCUGGGCUAGCGGAGUCUGUAACCUGAAGCGUAUGUAACCUGAAGCGUAUGUAACCCGAGGUACCGCUGUACACAUCUAGACUUCUACUUGUAAAAAAGUUAGCGAAUGCAUGCUUUUAAAGUCAGUUUUAUUUUCUUCAUUGAUCUCCCAUACAUUUCCUAAUGUGUUCUAGACUGCAAUUUUAAGAUUCUCUUCCUUUUUCAGAUUCUCUCCUCCACCCCCCCCCCCUUGUAUACAUACAGAGAGAGACUGGGUUUUCAAAGGAUUCCAGCAAAGCUAAUUCAAAACCUCCUUUAGUGAUGAUUAUUUUUCUAUGGAAAAACACACAUCUUAUGAAAUACUUCAACCUAAUGAGUCAUUGUAUUCUGAAAAUAAUGCCAUGGGUUAAAACUACCUGGAGAGUGGAAUUUCCAAUGGACAAGAUAAUUACCCCAAUCUUGAAAACUUCACACAGAGCCCUGUGAAUAGGAAUAACAUUGGAACCGACAAACAAAACUAAUUAAUUUCCACAAUUGUCCACACACUUCCCUCUUCAAGGGAUUUGCUCAGCACACUGAAUUUCAGACUCUACCCUGCACAUUUUUUUAUUUGCAAUGGGGUCACAAAUCGAAAUAAAGCUAUUGAUCAGUUUAUGUUUUUCAGUUGGGUAUAACUUGGAGAUGUUAACAGCUGAGAUCAACAUCAGAUAAUACUGGAUUGGGGUUUCUGUGUAGAACAGGGGUGGCAAACCUGUUACCCUCCAGAUAUUGUUGGACUGCAACUUUCAGCAUCCCUGACCAUUGGCUAUGUUGGCUGCAGUUGAUGGCCUUGCAAUAUGACAACACAGUGGUACCUCGGGUUACAGACGCUUCAGAUUACAGAUGCUUCAGGUUACAGACUCCGCUAACCCAGAAAUAGUACCUCGGGUUAAGAACUUUGCUUCAGGAUGAGAACAGAAAUCGUGCUCCGGCGGCACGGCUAAAGUGGUGCUUCAGGUUAAGAACAGUUUCAGGUGAAGAACGGACCUCCAGAAUGAAUUAAGUUCUUAACCCGAGGUACCACUGUACCAGAAGGCCACAGGUCAGUCAACCCUGGUGUAGAAAAUUAAAAAGGCAGUGGCUGGAAGGGGGUGGAAGCUAAAGUCUAAACAUCUGGAGGCCCCCAAGGUAGUAAAAAUUCACUAAUGAAAGCAGGAAGGUGAAGCAAAGAGGGGGAAGGGAGGGGAAAUGGGUUAGAUUGAGGAUAUGAACUCAUGAAGAGGCACAACCAAUGAGAAGGUAAAUUUCUGACUAGCCUGUUCUAUACAGAGGGAUUGCUGGGAGGCUGGAAUCAGCAAAAGCCGACAGGUUCGAGUGAGCCUGCAUUCCAAUACAGGGCAGGACUGAAUAUACGUAAAUUGCUCCUGGUACUGGGAAACUUCCAAAGAGGGAAGAGUAGUCUGAAGGUGUCUGAUACAAUGAACGGUGUGAUCAGUGAAUAUGGAACACGUUCUCAGAUAGGGAACAUCAGCAUUGUUGUCUUCUGCUGGUCCAAAACUUGAUUCUGGGCCUUUAAAGGAUUGUGGCAUUUAGUGAAAUACAUUCCUGAUACUUAUUCUAAACAUGUCUAUCAUGUCACACUAAUGUGCGAAGUGAUUCAGAACAGAGUGAGACUGGCUUCCAAUAAAUGGUGCACCGGAUUGCCCCCUUUGCUGCUCGAAUGCUAUAUAUGUGUGGGGAGAAAAUGAACCCUGUAUUUAUGAUACAAGUGAGUUCUGGUAUUUCUUUUGACCAUGCUUUUUUUAUCCAAAGCUUUCGAUGCCCCCAACUUCCAUUGCUAAUCAUACCUGGACUGUCAAAAGCUUUCAGACACAAGCAGGAACUGCUCUGGAAUGUAUAUGAAGAGCUUUGCAUCACUUAUACUGUGGAUGGUUUUUAUUAUUCUGUUCAGUUUUGGGGUUAAUGCCAAAGAAUCCCCUCUGGGGGUGUUGUGGAUUCAGCCUGUCAGUUUCUGCCUUUUUUGGCUCCCAGUUUCAAUCAAAUCUAAAUAGAAACCUGAAAUGUCCCAAAAUGCUUUGCAAUUGCUAGGUAUGUCUGGAACUAGGAGUCUUCUGUAAAUGGGAGGUGUUUUUCUAUCUCUCAAUGGAAGCGGCAAUUUGAAAGGCAUCUCCCUGAAAUCCAGGUGCCACUGACAUUACCUGAGCUUCCAGUGACAAAGCUGGAUCUAGAAGCACCUCUGGAGUGCAAGCCCACUCCUGUAUAGGGAGCGCAAGUCCAUCCAAGGGCAAGCAAUUGACCAAAUUCUUGGACACAGGAACCAUUCAGCCGCAGUGCCUUUUUCUUACCAGGAUUUAAGCUAAGCUUGUUUUCCUCAUCCAUCUUCACCACUGAAUUCUGGCACUUCUGUGUUAAAGGGGUGUUUGCUGCUGUCUCAUUGCUUAAUUUUGGAAUUGGAAGUCUUGUUCUGAAAAUCUAACCCUCCUGCUACCAACUCCUGUUCCCUGGAGCUGAUCUAGGAGAAUGCCAUGGCCAAUGUUAUCGACAGCUUAAGAGAGAUGUACAACCGCAGCAAAGAUUUUAUAUGCGCAGAAGUGGAAGGAAACGGCAAUACCCACAAAAGAAGAAUGGAUCAACAAACUAAUGGACUAUGCCAAAAUGGCAAAAUUACCUGCUAGACUAAGAGCCUCUACUGAUGAGUUUUUUUGUAGAAGAAUAGAAGCCCUUUUCGGAUUACAAGUAAAUACUUUUAUUUCUUGUCCAAUACGAGAUGGAUUUAUAUCUCGUGCAACAGAAGAACAAGAAUAUGUUAUUUUCAGGUUUAUAUUUUAUACUUUGUGUCAUGUUAGAAACAAGUGGAUAGUUCAGACAGUGGAGAUACAACGUCUUAUUGCUAUGGGAAGUCACAGAAACAUAAGAAUGGUAGCGCAUGAUGUUCUUAAUAUUUGUUAUGUGAAAACCAUAUAUAUAUAUGGGGUUUUCACAUAAUACAUAUUAUGUAUAUGUGAGAGACAGAAGUCAAGAAGCAGGAGCAAUGUUGUACUCCCCGUGUCCCACUCUCUGCAAACGUCAUCCAUCCAGGUAGCCAAAGCCAACUCAGCCCCAUGGCCAGUCCUGAAGCCAGGUUGGAAAGGAUCUAAAUAAUCUCUGCCAUCCAAUAAUGCUUGUAGCUGCCCUAUCACAACCCUCUCCACCACCUCCCCCAAUUGGGUAUUUGCAACAGGUUGAUUGUUCCAAUCCCAAAGGUCAAAAUCCAGUUUAUUUGGGAGAGGCCGCACUACAACUUCUUUCAAUGGAGCAGGGACCAUCCCUUCAUACAUUGGAUUGCUCUGCAUCUGUCCCAAGGGUCAAACUACAUAGUGUCACAAGUUUGUGUAAGUCCGUUCAGAUGAUGUUAUUGGAACCCUUCCAGGCCAGUGAUUCUGUAUCCAGCGAGGGUGAGAAUCUAGUAGAAGAGGUUGCUGAACCAGUCAGACUUUUUUUUGGUAAGAAAAUGACUUUAACUGGCCACAGAAGGAGUCUCUCUUUCUCUUUUUUAAUUUUUAUCGACAGCUUAAUUUUUUAAUUUUUAUUGGAAUUUUAUUUACAACAUAACACAACCCCCCACCCCAAUACACUAAUCCACCCUCAUUAAACAUGAACAUAGUGAGCAUAACAUACAACAAUACAAACAACCAAAUAAAAGACUUCCUUUAUCCUG